ACUACCCUGAGUGGGGAAUAACUUCGGGAAACCGAGGCUAAUACCGCAUAAUACCCACGGGUCAAAGGAGCAAUUCGCUUGAGGAGGGGGUCGCGGCCGAUUAGUUAGUUGGCGGGGUAAUGGCCCCACCAAGACGGUGAUCGGUAUCCGGCCUGAGAGGGCGCACGGACACACUGGAACUGAAACACGGUCCAGACUCCUACGGGAGGCAGCAGUGGGGAAUUUUGCGCAAUGGGGGAAACCCUGACGCAGCAACGCCGCGUGGAGGAUGAAGUCUCUUGGGACGUAAACUCCUUUCGAUCGGGACGAUUAUGACGGUACCGGAAGAAGAAGCCCCGGCUAACUUCGUG
rnacentral:rRNA from 1 species